UACGUAGGGGGCAAGCGUUGUCCGGAAUCAUUGGGCGUAAAGCGCGUGUAGGCGGCUGGCUAAGUCCGCUCUGAAAGCCCGGGGCUCAACCCCGGGAGGCGGGUGGAUACUGGUCAGCUCGAGUCCGGAAGAGGAGUGUGGAAUUCCUGGUGGUAGCGGUGGAAUGCGUAGAGAUCCGGAAGAACACCAGUGGCGAAGGCGGCCCGCUGGGCAGUGGCUGACGCUGAGGCGCGACAGCGUGGGGGAGCAAACAGG
rnacentral:rRNA from 1 species